rnacentral:rRNA from 1 species
UGGGGAAUAUUGGACAAUGGGCGCAAGCCUGAUCCAGCCAUGCCGCGUGAGUGAUGAAGGUCUUCGGAUUGUAAAACUCUUUCGCCGGGGAAGAUAAUGACGGUACCCGGAGAAGAAGCUCCGGCUAACUUCGUGCCAGCAGCCGCGGUAAUACGAAGGGAGCUAGCGUUGUUCGGAAUUACUGGGCGUAAAGCGCACGUAGGCGGAUUUUAAGUCAGGGGUGAAAUCCCAAGGCUCAACCUUGGAACUGCCUUUGAUACUGGAAGUCUUGAGAUCGGGAGAGGUGAGUGGAAUUCCUAGUGUAGAGGUGAAAUUCGUAGAUAUUAGGAAGAACACCAGUGGCGAAGGCGGCUCACUGGCCCGAUACUGACGCUGAGGUGCGAAAGCGUGGGGAGCAAACAGGAUUAGAUACCCAAGUAGUCCCUGAGCGGGCUGGCAAGGCGCAU